CAAUGUGGGCUUUCAGAUAAUCUACAGUAUAUAAAGUCUGUAAGAAACCAGAUGUGUUUGGGAAACACUGAUUUACCCCCCCCCCCCUCCUAUAUAUAGCAACACUGUAAUUCUGAUACUAAACUGUAGUAAAAGAAAGGUCUUGUCACAAGGAAUACAAAUGUGAAAUAUGAAAGCCCUAGUACUAAGCUUUCAAAGGUUAAUGCUAAGAGGUUAAUUUUAUUUUUAAAGUAGGUCAAAUGCCAUGGUGAAGGUAAUGAGGUCAACAAUGGUGGUACCAAAUGAAAGGUCUUGUCACAAGGAAUAUUCAUACUAUGAAAGCCCAAACACUAAGCAUUUAAAAGUUAUGACCAAGGUUAAAGUUUUUCAAAAAUAAGUCAAACCCCAAGGUGAAGGUCAUGAGGUCAACAAUAUUGGUACCCAAAGAAAGGUCUUGUCACAAGGAAUAUUCAUACAAUGUACUAAUUUUUUCAAAAGUAGGUCAAACUCCAAAGAGAAGGUCAUGAGGUCAACAAUGUUGGUACCUAAGAAAAGAAUACACAUAUGAAAUAUGAAAGCCCUAGCACUCAGCAUUCAAAAGUUAUGAGCAACGUUAAUUUUUUUUUUAUUCUUUAUAUACUGUAGAUUAUCUGAAAGCCCACAGGUUCUAAAAAUAACAGAGAAAUACGUUAUUGUUUUAUUUUUACUAGGACAUUUACCAGACCAGGUCAGUGGGUGAUUUCUUGCCUACGACAGCAGCGAAAUUCAGACUAGUAUUUCUGUUAUUUUUAGAACCUGUGGCUUGAAAUUUGGCAUGCAAGUAGGUAAGACAUUAAUCUAUGCAAGGAGACUGGCAAAUUACGCAUACCACACCUAGUUUCUGAUUUUUAAGGCAUUUGAAGCGAGUGGGUAGUUUUUUUUAUCUGGGUCAGAGUUAGACCCCUUUCUAUAUUUAUGGUAUCACAGAAUUCAGGCCCAAAACAGGCUUAGCCCCUGUAGAUUACCUGAAUGUGUAUGAUAAUAAUAAUGAUUACCUGAAUGUGUACGAUAAUAAUGAUUACCUGAAUGUGUAUGAUAAUAAUAAUGAUUACCUGAAUGUGUAUGAUAAUAAUAAUGAUUACCUGAAUGUGUAUGAUAAUAAUAAUGAUUACCUGAAUGUGUAUGAUAAUGAUAAUGAUUACCCGAAUGUGUAUGAUAAUAAUCAUGAUUACCUGAAUUUGUAUGAUAGUAAUAAUGAUUACCUGAAUGUGUACGAUAAUAAUAAUAAUAUAAUUACCUGAAUGUGUGUGAUAAUAAUGAUUACCUGAAUGUGUAUGAUAAUAAUAAUGAUUACCUGAAUGUGUACGAUAAUAAUAAUAAUUACCUGAAUGUGUAUGAUAAUAAUAAUGAUUACCUGAAUGUGUAUGAUAAUAAUAAUG